UAAUGUAUGGGGAUCUGCCCGAUAGAGGGGGAUAACUACUGGAAACGGUGGCUAAUACCGCAUAAUGUCUACGGACCAAAGCAGGGGGCGUCUUCGGACCUUUGCACUAUCGGAUGAACCCAUAUGGGAUUAGCUAGUAGGUGGGGUAAAGGCUCACCUAGGCGACGAUCUCUAGCUGGUCUGAGAGGAUGAUCAGCCACACUGGGACUGAGACACGGCCCAG
rnacentral:rRNA from 1 species